rnacentral:rRNA from 1 species
AUACGGAGGGGACAAGCGUUAUUCGGAAUCACUGGGCGUAAAGGACGCGUAGGCGGGUUAUUAAGUCGGGUGUGAAAUCCAAUGGCUCAACCAUUGAACUGCAUUCGAAACUGAUAACCUAGAGUAUGGAAGGGGCAGGUGGAAUUAGUGGUGUAGGGGUAAAAUCCGUAGAUAUCACUAGGAAUACCGAAAGCGAAGGCGGCCUGCUGGGACAUUACUGACGCUGAGGCGUGAAAGCGUGGGGAGCAAACAGGAUUAGAAACCCUAGUAGUCC